rnacentral:rRNA from 1 species
UACGUAGGGUGCAAGCGUUGUCCGGAAUUAUUGGGCGUAAAGAGCUCGUAGGCGGUUCGUCGCGUCGGCUGUGAAAACCCGAGGCUCAACCUCGGGCCUGCAGUCGAUACGGGCGGACUGGAGUUCGGCAGGGGAGACUGGAAUUCCUGGUGUAGCGGUGAAAUGCGCAGAUAUCAGGAGGAACACCGGUGGCGAAGGCGGGUCUCUGGGCCGAUACUGACGCUGAGGAGCGAAAGCUAGGGGAGCAAACGGG